UACAGAGGCCUCGAGCGUUAGGCGGAAUCACUGGGCUUAAAGCGUGUGUAGGCGGACUUCUAAGUACCUUGUGAAAUCCCACGGCUCACCCGUGGAACUGCUUGGUAUACUGGUUGUCUUGAGCCUUCUAGGGGCGAGUGGAACAAAUGGUGGAGCGGUGAAAUGCGUAGAUAUCAUUUGGAACGCCAAUGGUGAAAACAGGUAGCUGGGGAUGUGCUGACGCUGAGACACGAAAGCCAGGGGAGCAAACGGG
rnacentral:rRNA from 1 species